GGUGGCAUGGUUGUCGUCAGCUCGUGUCGUGAGAUGUUGGGUUAAGUCCGCAACGAGCGCAACCCUCGACCUUAGUUGCCAGCAUUCAGUUGGGCACUCUAAGGUGACUGCCGGCUAAAAGUCGGAGGAAGGUGGGGAUGACGUCAAAUCAUCAUGCCCCUUAUGACCUGGGCUACACACGUGCUACAAUGGGCGGUACAAAGGGUCGCGAACCCGCGAGGGGGAGCCAAUCCCAAAAAGCCGCUCUCAGUUCGGAUUGCAGGCUGCAACUCGCCUGCAUGAAGCCGGAAUCGCUAGUAAUCGCGGAUCAGCAUGCCGCGGUGAAUACGUUCCCGGGCCUU
rnacentral:rRNA from 1 species